rnacentral:tRNA from 2 species
GCCCGGAUAGCUCAGUUGGUAGAGCAUCAGGCUUUUAAUCUGAGGGUCCAGGGUUCAAGUCCCUGUUCGGGCG